UUUAGAACCAAUAGUUCAUCACCUAAUGGAUCCUUUCGUCCUAAUACUAACUGAUAGUUAUUAUAUCUAAGUUGAUAUAAUACAAAUUCAAGCUUCCAACCAAAAGCCUCUCUCAUUGUAAGCGAGAAGGCCAGAAAGCUAGAAUAAUCAAAAACUUCAUCACAUAAGUAUGGAACUGUAACAUUCUCAAUAUGGAAAAGAAAACGAAAAAAUUUGAAAUUUCAGUUGAUUGAGGAGUUCAUUACACGAAAAUGAGGAUCGAUAUUGAAUCUAUUUCUUGAUCCCUACAAGACUUUUUAUCUUGCCCUCACGCACUAUCCCUGCUCUACAUAACGAAAGCUGCUUCCGAAGCACAGAUAAAUCAUUUCUCAGCUCAUCUGCGCCAGGCCUCCUUAAUAACAUGGCUAAAUGGACAGAGUUCCAAGAGAAGACAAAUCACAAGUUCACCAAUGACAAGACAACCACCAAAUGUUACAAGGUGGAAAAUAUGUUUAACUGAAACUUAUUACAACAAUUUACCUAUAUAUAUGACAUUGGUUUACUUGUGUCUGAUGAAGAUCAACAUACGAGUCCUACAAAACAAGAUGGAUUUUAAGAAGCAUACUCGAGGAGACUUUUUACCAAAGUAGCAAAGAUAAAUAAAUAAUAGAAAGGAAACUGCUAAUGAGCUCUAAUCCCAUUCCUCAUACACUAAAUUUUCCUUUCAUGCAGCAAUUUUAUUUAUCUACAUACAGUUGACUUCACGGCAUGUGUUAUCUAGCAGUUACUAGGCAACUAAUAAAUGGGUGUGAUAGUAUUCAAAAAGGAUAUAUUAGGCAAUACCGUAAUAGUCAUUUUUUUAGCACGAGGCAAGACGCAGGCCUCAUCAUAAACCAAUAUAAUAAUCUAAAAAUUUGUUAGAAAAUUUACAUGACCAGGCCAACAUGCUACAUGCAUAUGGAAACAUAAAUGGAUCAACAAAAGCAAUCACACAUUCAAUCAAUAACUACAACUAAGAAAACUAAACCUAAUGAAACAACUGAACAACUAAUUGCAAAAUUUCUCAGUACCUUGACUUCAAAAGAAAAUGAAAAACCUACAGACAACAAAAGUGAAUAAAAGAGAGGACGAUUGAAGUUACAUGUUAAAGACCAUCUGUCUCCAAAAACUUGCAACAUCACUUUGAAGGGAUCAAACUUUAGCUGUAGGAGUAAGGUCUAAGACAUGCAUGAGCUUUUCACUUCUCCUCUAAUCUAAUCUCCAAUUCAUUUCAGAUUUCUAGGGUUCAGUCGUGUUUAAAAUAACACAAAAACCUUAAAACUUUCUAGGUUAUUAAAAAUAUCAGCCUUAAAAGCCGAGUAAGAUUAAAAAGGUCCUAAAAAGGCAAGACUACAGGGCGAACCCCAGUUGCCCUGAGGCUGCGGCUCAGUAAGUCUUGGAUAUAUUUAAUAAAGGUCAUAGUCAAGUAUGGAACUAUAGGAGGGUUUCCAGUUACAUGUAGAUAAUGAAAAAGCAAAUGAGCGGAAGGAAGAAUUAGCAGUAAAGUUAUUAAAAACAAAAAUAGGAUAAGGCCAAUAAUUCAAAUAUCUAAGAGAAAGGAGAUUGGUCAUCAAGAAUUUUCAAUGCUUUAGAUGAGCUAAAGAUGUAGAGAAGAUAAGCUUCACUGCAGGAGCAAAACGACAAAUCGUUGAUCAAGUGUGGGAGGACAGCGAAAGAAGGCCUGUGAAGUCUAGAAAUCUUUGAAUACUAUAAAAGGCUUAUUGACAAAGUAGAUAAAUGCCUACAUAUAUAGAAAGGCAAAUGCCAAAAAACAGUCCGACAGCAUCCAUCAAAAGACUAAUAUUGCACCACGCAGGUUAAGUGCCUUCCAACCGAUUCAUUAAUUGUUUGCUUACGUGAAAAUUCUCUUUCAUUCUUGCCAACAAGUGUCUCAAGGAAAUUGUCAAAUAGCAGUGGAAACAAGACAACACAAAGCAACUAACAAGUAAAUAAAUAUGUAGAAAUGUAAACUGCAAACUAGAAGCAGGCUGGGCUAAAAUUUAUACACAUGACAGAGUUAAAGUCUUAUCGACUACCCCUUACCUAAGGUAGUCAUCAAACUUUCCUCGAAAGAAAUUAACUAAAACCCUCCCCCAGACAAUAAAAUUAAUCUCAGGGCCAACAAAACACAUACAUAUCACGUGCAUGAACAAAUAAUACCCGAAGAAUUUGGAGGCGGCAUAUAAAAUUGCAUGUCAGAUAACCAAAUCUCGUGGGCAAGAAUAAAUAUUAGCAUCAUGCUCUUGUAUUUAUUUGUUCAUAAACAUACCAAAUCUUGUUUUGCAUCUACUUCUCUCUCACAUUUUCCAACAGAACCCUCUAAUAACAUAGUAAUUUUCAGAAGUUCUAAAGAGCAUGCUUUAUUUAACCGCCAAAAAAUGGCUUACUUUGUAUAAAGAACCCAUUUUUUGAGAGCAUGCUUAGCUUAUUUAACAGCCCAACAAUGGCUUCUUUUGCCGAAAGAACGCAUUUUUUGAGCUUUUAAGUUAAGCCAAAAAUGCUCUGCAUAUAAAUGGUAUAAUUUUUUAACCAUAUUUCCCAGGAAGUAUAGAACAAAAUUACAAUUAAUUUGGGACAGAAGUUGCAUAUAGAAGUGACAGGAAUAAGGAAAAAGUAAGAGAACUAAGCACUUGCGUGAAAAAAAAAAAAAAAUUUAAAUAAAUAAACAAAAAUGCAUAUCAUAAAUAAGCAUACAUAUCACCCGGUUUGAAUAUAAAAUCAACGUGCAAACAGUCAACCAAAAAAAAAAUGAAGGAAUUGAUUUUAAUGAUAGGGUUUCAAUAUGACCAUAUCUGCUGGAAAAAUAGCUUGUGGUUAUGGGGUCCAAUAGGCAAUGGACAAGCGAUAAGAAACCCUAAAUAUUGAGACAAAAAUCGUAGUUUAUGAAAAUCCUAACUGAAUAAUAAAAUUAAUUAGGGUUCCAAAUACGAACUAGGAUAUCCAGGUAGUCAUCGGUCAAUUCGCCGCACUGCAGUCGGAGUCAGGCAAAUGGUAUCCAGGCCCCAGCCGUCGUCGUUUCAUGCUAAAGAAGGAGAAUGACAAGCCUGACAAAAGAGUUUGCCUUUAUAUAAUAGAACUAAUGUUUUAGUACGCGUAUAACACUGGUUGUGCACCUGUAUUUUCGAACGAAUGCUUCAGACGUCGUGGCCGACUCAUUUAUCAAGCUUGUAAUUCUACUUCGAUUUAACAUGAAAUAAUAAGGUGAACCAGGGUGGAGGUACUGGAUUUAUAUGAAGGUAUGCACGUUAGUGGAAAUGGUGGCA
rnacentral:lncRNA from 1 species